rnacentral:rRNA from 1 species
CAUGCAAGUCGUACGAGAAGGCCCACUGAAGCAGAAAGAAGUUGGAGUGCUUGCACAAAGAUGGAUUCAGUGGACGUGGAUUCUCCUUCUAGUGGCAAACGGGUGAGUAACACGUGGGUUACCUACCUCUAAGACUGGGAUACCGUUUGGAAACGAACGUUAAUACCGGAUGUGCUAUACGUAGUAAAGAAGCCCUUAAAGCUUCACUUAGAGAUGGGCCUGCGGCGCAUUAGCUAGUUGGUGAGAUAACAGCCCACCAAGGCGACGAUGCGUAGCCGAACUGAGAGGUUGAUCGGCCACAUUGGGACUGAGACACGGCCCAGACUCCUACGGGAGACAGCAGUUAGGAAUAUUCGUCAAUGGGGGCAACCCUGAACGAGCAAUGCCGCGUGAACGAUGACGGCCCUAUGGGUUGUAAAGUUCUGUUGUUUAGGAAAAAUAGCAUGUGUAGGAAAUGACAUGUGUAUGAUGGUACUAUUCAAGAAAGCCACGGCUAACUACGUGCCAGCAGCUGC